CUGAAGGAGGAGGAAGUGGAGAAGGAAGGCGGAAGUCCUGGUUAAACACAGAUCUGGCAACAACAGCAAAAUCAUGGAACACAAAUGACAGAAAACACUAUAUUGGCAUCCUAACGUACAGCAACGGAACUUGGAAGAAAACAAGCUAUAGUGGCUCCAUGGUCUAUCAUAAACAGAAGCUCUAGAAACUGCAGUUCAAUAUUUACUGGUAACUUUCACCAAAUCUAAAAUGGUAGAACCAUUUUAAGAAGGAGGAACUUUUCUCCUGUCCUUCCUCAGUGCAUAUGUCUGAAACCAAGAG